UGUGGACCCAGGUUUGAGGAAGCCUGCGCUGCAUGACCAUCGAGGUCACUCCACCUCUAAAACUCAGAUUUGAGGCAUUGUUCUAGAUGCUGGAAAUAUAACAGUGAGCAAAAUAUAAAAAUCCUUGUUCUCAUGGAACUGACCUUCUGUUGGGAAGAAUAAUACUGCCUACCUCACAAGGUGGUGUAAUCCAUGGAAAAGAAAGCAUGUUUACACUAUGGAGUAAAAAGAUAAGUGGUUAUGACUGUUAUUAUUUUACACCUCCAACAAUUGUGUGGUCAGAAGACACUAAACUAUCCCCUGUACCUCCUCAUAGCAACCCCCAUGGCCUUGCUUUGGACCUUAUAUGACUGAUUCCUUUGAGCUAAAGCAUUUUAUCUAAGAACACUAACACAAUUUAUUAUAAUUCCUGGUUUACAAAGUGACCCAGUCACCUAACAGGGCCCUGAAGGAACAAGGUACUGCUCAAGUUUUGUACUGAUGUUGUAAAAAGGGUCAGAAAAGGCAAGAACAUGGAAAUUACCAAUGAGGACCAAGGUGAGAAGUGAGGCAACACCAGUGUCCUGUGCUGGGAACUGAUUGGAGAGCAGAAAAGAAGACAGGCAUCUUUAUCCUAAAAACUAAAAACCUCCACUGGAGUCUCCAGUCAGCUUGCAAGCUUGACAGAGGUGGGAAACAAGACAGAAUCAGAAAUAUUGCUCCAUUUCCAGCACCAACCACAGUGCCUAGCCCAGAGCAAUAUUUGAGGCAUUUAAUAGCCUCUACUCCAGAUAUUAUAGUUCAGAUUUAGCAGAAAUCUUCAUGGGUUGUUUAUGUGGGGAGAUCUUCAUGGAGAAGGUGGGGCUGACCUAGGCUUCAAGGGUGGUGGGAAUUGGGAGGAUGAAGCUUCCCUAGGAGGGACUGAUGAAAAAUCUUUGAGCAGGUAGGUCAGGGAGUGGCAUCAGUGGUGCAGUGGAGUGUAUGUGCAGUCCUUAAGUCUUGGAGAUUUGGUGAGGAGGUGGGGCAGGGACAGGCUGAAUGUCAUGAAUAGCAGAAGCAUCAUGGGCAGAGUCUCUGAGAGCAGGUUUGGGACCAGUGGAAGUAGAGCCAAUUAGGGGGAGUAUUGUGACACAAAAUUUUUAUUAUUAUGCAACAUUGCUGGCCUGGGCUCACUCUUGUCAGUCUUGGUGAAAUUUCCUGAAUCAGAGUGUUCUGCCUCCCACAUACAGCCUGAAGUCUGGAGGGACUUCCUCAUUUUGCAAAGGGAUAAUAAACUCUUUACAGAGUUUGGCUUUAAACUCUUAGCUUGGGUGUAUUUUCUUUUUUCGGUUCAAUUAGCUAAAUCUACCUAGUAUAAGAGCAAGAAAUUAUAGUAAACUAUUGUAGUAAACUCAGGAUCAUUCAAACAAGGGCUUGGCAUGAGAUUCUGGGAACUUGCUUGGAGCAACAGGAAGAGACAGGGCUUGCAUUCGGAUAUGUAAGCAUAGACUUGGCAGGAAUAUCUGAAUUUAUCAGGGCUCCACAAUUUCAGCAGCACCUCAGUUUUCCUAAGCAGAUAAGAUUGGGAGGGCCCAAGUAAAAAUACAGAUUGGAGCAGGAGCUUCAAUGGGUAUUGAAUCAACUCCACCUUUUACUUCCCAACAGCAGGUGUUGGGUGGGGCUAACCAGGGGUGAGCCUUGAUUGACCCAAGACAAUUGGUUUCAUCUCCUCUUCUUAGCCACAUAGAUUAGCUCAUGAGUGAGCAGGUGAUUCAAACAAAGUAAAGCCCAGGACUUUGUUUCAGUGGUUGGGGGAUAGCGUGGGUGUGAGUAUUAGUCUGGACACUGCUGCAGUUAUUUUACUCUAAUGACAGGCGCCAUCCAAAGGUGAGGCCGCUGCUAGAAGAGGGCAGAUUCAAAAGACUUGAGAAAAAAUGGAGUCAGAACCUGAUCAAACCACAGCUGGAAUAACAAGUUACGAAAUACCACCAUCAUCACAGCUGAGAAGGAUGUGAGAGCCGAUUCUGCACUGCAAUCACCAGCUCACAGCACUUAGUUGAAUGUCUCCUCUCCUCCAAAACCAGAGCCAAGGCCAUCAGCAGAACCCUCAAAGUCAUCUGAGAUGAGAUACUGCAGGAUUAAAUAUGAACUUUUCCUCAACGGUUUGAUGGAUCAAAGUUAUAGUGUCUUCAGCAAUUUUUAUCCAAUUAUAGUUUGAAGAGUUAAGCUAUAACUUAAACUUAUAUUUAAGCAAAACCAGCAUAAGUGAAAAAAAGUACCACUUCAAAACAGAUUCAAAAACAAGAAAUAAAACAAAAGCUUAAGAACUUUUGCUAAAAAUUAUCUCCCUUUCUGCAACCACUUGGAAGAAAAGGGGGUAAAACAUACGAUAAAAUGUUAAUUACUUGGAACACAUUUAACCAGACUUUUCAAUCAUUUGGAUCAUUUUUUGCCUUUUGGUUAUUUUUGGACAAAUAUUUCUGCAAUUUGAAACAUAAUUUAACUCUUCUAGAACCAUGCUUCUUUGCAAUAGCAUCAAUAGUUUAGCACAAAAUUUUAAGAAGUGUAAUGCUAUGAAGAAUAGCAUAGUAAGAAAUUUUUUUUUCUGCAAACAUUCUUGGUUGUUAAAGAAAAUUGUUUUAAAACACAAGCUUGGGAGGCCGAGGCGGGCGGAUCACGAGGUCAGGAGAUCGAGACCAUCCUGGCUAACACAGUGAAACCCCGUCUCUACUAAAAAUACAAAAAAAUUUGCCAGGCGUGGUGUCGGGCAACUGUAGUCCCAGCUACUCAGGAGGCUGAGGCAGGAGAAUGGCGUGAACCCAGGAGGUGGAGCUUGCAGUGAGCCGAGAUCGUGCCACUGCACUCCAGCCUGGGCAACAGAGUGAGACCCCGACUGAAAAAAACAAAAAACAAAAAAACACAAGCUUUACCUUUGUAAACUAAGAGAUAUAUAUAAAAAAGGAAAAUUUAUCAUGCAUAAAAAACCUUGGCAUAUAUAUCUGGCUACAUAUUUUUACAUAUGCAUAUUUGUAUUUUACAUAUACAUAUUUUUAUUGUGUUCCAGGAUUGAAGAGUAAUCAUAAACCCUGUGCAAAACAGAUGAGGUGACCUUAGCUUCAACCCUCCAGUUCUCUUGCAUGAUAUCUAAUUGCAAAAAUUUAUAGCAGGGUUUAAGAGCAGAUAUGGCUUAUUUAUCCAGAAACAUCUGAUUGUAUAUAAAGUCAUGAAGUAACAUUCUGUAAGCACCUGGGCACUCAGCUGGAGUAGGGGUAUGCAAGAAUCUUCUUCACCAUAUUUUCCUUAACUUGGUUUUC
rnacentral:lncRNA from 10 species